CUACGGGUGGCUGCAGUGGGGAAUAUUGCACAAUGGAGGAAACUCUGAUGCAGCAACGCCGCGUGGAGGAUGACACUUUUCGGAGCGUAAACUCCUUUUAUAUAGGAAGAUAAUGACGGUACUAUAUGAAUAAGCACCGGCUAACUCCGUGCCAGCAGCCGCGGUAAUACGGAGGGUGCAAGCGUUACUCGGAAUCACUGGGCGUAAAGAGCGUGUAGGCGGGUUAAUAAGUCAGAAGUGAAAUCCUAUGGCUCAACCAUAGAACUGCUUUUGAAACUGUUAACCUAGAAUAUGGGAGAGGUAGAUGGAAUUUCUGGUGUAGGGGUAAAAUCCGUAGAGAUCAGAAGGAAUACCGAUUGCGAAGGCGAUCUACUGGAACAUUAUUGACGCUGAGACGCGAAAGCGUGGGGAGCAAACAGGAUUAGAUACCCCUGUAGUC
rnacentral:rRNA from 1 species